rnacentral:ncRNA from 1 species
AUAAUAUAAGGCUAAACUCAUUGUGAAGUGAGGGCAGAAAGUUAUGGGUCUCAAUGCAGAUCGCCAAACUGCCAAA